rnacentral:lncRNA from 1 species
GUUGAACUUCAAUUCGAUUACUCCAUGUUAAGGAAGUAAAUAAUGUAAAUUAGGCAGGGGUGUAACUAGAGUUUAUUGUAUUUUCAUAAUUACUGAGUUUCUAUAUGUUUGUGUACUCUCGAUUUUACCAUAUAAUGAAAGAAGAGGAGGGAAAGUAAAAAGAACCUUAUUCUCUAAAAGUUAUAUCAAACCUAUUUCACAAUGGUAUCAAAGCAUUGAUUCUGGGCUUUGGUAUUAUCUCCUUCCCCCUGACUUUCUCUUUUUUACCAUAAACUUAAAUCUUCAUUGGAGUAUAGUUGCUGUCAGUCGAGGUGGUCUCGGACGUCAGAAGAAGCUUGCGCUGCGAUUGAUUGUAACAGUCGAGUGGUUGUGCAGCGUUUGUUGGAAUUCCUUCGAUGGUUCGAUGAUGGUUUUGUGGUGAUUCGAUGGGUAUAGAAAGUGGGUUUUCCUGUGGUGGUGUCGUUUCUGUUGAAGGUAGUGAUCAGAGCCCUCAAGUUUGGUAGGCAAAGCCUAGGUGUGUCGAUUGUAGCCGACGACAUCGACGAAGGUUCUCAGUGGACUUCGGUUGGUUUGUGACUGUGGGAUGUGUUUUGCUUAUUUGACUUGGACCUACUCAAUUGAUCUCAGUUUGCUAUUUAGGCUAAUUAAAUUGGGCUACUAUUGUUGGACUCUAAUAAUUAUGUUGGGCGCAUUUUGUUAUUUGAUUUCUUU